AUUGAACGCUGGCGGCAGGCCUAACACAUGCAAGUCGAACGAGUGGCGGACGGGUGAGUAAUGUCUGGGAAGCUGCCCGAUGGAGGGGGAUAACUACUGGAAACGGUAGCUAAUACCGCAUACCAUCGGAUGUGCCCAGAUUGGAUUUGCUUAUAGGUGAGGUAACGGCUCACCUAGGCGACGAUCCCUAGCUGGUCUGAGAGGAUGACCAGCCACAAUGGAACUGAGUCACGGUCCAGACUCCUACGGGAGGAAACAGUGGAGAAUAUUGCACAAUGGGCGCAAGCCUGAUGCAGCCAUGCCGCGUGUAUGAAGAAGGCCUGCGGGUUGUAAAGUACUUUCAGCGGGGAGGCGUUACCCGCAGAAGAAGCACCGGCUAACUCCGUGCCAGCGGCCGCGGUAAUUC
rnacentral:rRNA from 1 species